rnacentral:rRNA from 1 species
UGCCAGCAGCCGCGGUAAUACGGAGGGGGUUAGCGUUGUUCGUAAUUACUGGGCGUAAAGCGCGCGUAGGCGGACUAGUCAGUCAGAGGUUAAAUCCCAGGGCUCAACCCUGGAACUGCCUUUGAUACUGCUAGUCUUGAGCUCGAGAGAGGUAAGUGGAAUUCCGAGUGUAGAGGUGAAAUUCGUAGAUAUUCGGAGGAACACCAGUGGCGAAGGCGACUUAAUGGCUCGAUAAUGAAGCUGAGGUGAGAAAGUGUGGGGGGCAAACAGGAUUAGAUC